UGGUAGCUGAGACGCAGCGGAGCGGAGGUGGAGUGCCUGGAUUAAAACAGGACAUAUUAGCAGCAUUUAACCUUCAGUUACUCUUUAUGUAGUUAGAUAGGAGUCAUGUUUCUUUUUAGCUGAAAAACAUUACACCAGAGAGACAGCCAGGUUCAUAAUGGAUAUAAGGAAGUUUUUUCAAAAACAGGAGCCACAUUCAGUCCAAAGAGGGAGAGAGGAAAGAGGGGAACAUGAGGAGAAAGUACAAGGUCAGGAAGAACCAGUGUGUACCGCCUGAGAAAAAUGUCAAGCUCUCCCAAGUACCACUAUGAAAGCAUGAAACUCAUAAAUCUUACAACACAAAAUUAGUAUUAUUAAAUUAGUUAAAUUAGUAU
ensembl:lncRNA